CUCAGUAACGGCGAGUGAAGCGGUAACAGCUCAAAUUUGAAAUCUGGCUCUUUCAGGGUCCGAGUUGUAAUUUGUAGAAGAUGCUUCAGGUGUGGCUCCGGUCUAAGUUCCUUGGAACAGGACGUCAUAGAGGGUGAGAAUCCCGUAUGUGACUGGUUGCCUUCGCCUAUGUGAAGCUCUUUCGACGAGUCGAGUUGUUUGGGAAUGCAGCUCUAAAUGGGAGGUAAAUUUCUUCUAAAGCUAAAUAUUGGCCAGAGACCGAUAGCGCACAAGUAGAGUGAUCGAAAGAUGAAAAGCACUUUGGAAAGAGAGUUAAACAGUACGUGAAAUUGUUGAAAGGGAAGCGCUUGCAACCAGACUUGCCUGCCGUCGAUCAUCCUCCGUUCUCGGGGGUGCACUCGGCGGUGGUCAGGCCAGCAUCGGUUUCGGUGGUGGGAUAAAGACCUUGGGAAUGUAGCUCCUCUCGGGGAGUGUUAUAGCCCUCGGUGCAAUGCCGCCUACCGGGACCGAGGACCGCGCUUCGGCUAGGAUGCUGGCGUAAUGGUUGUAAGCGACCCGUCUUGAAACACGGACCAAGGAGUCUAACAUCUAUGCGAGUGUUUGGGUGUUAAACCCAUACGCGUAAUGAAAGUGAACGGAGGUGAGAACCCUUUAGGGUGCAUCAUCGACCGAUCCUGAUGUCUUCGGAUGGAUUUGAGUAAGAGCAUAGCUGUUGGGACCCGAAAGAUGGUGAACUAUGCCUAAAUAGGGUGAAGCCAGAGGAAACUCUGGUGGAGGCUCGCAGCGGUUCUGACGUGCAAAUCGAUCGUCAAAUUUGGGUAUAGGGGCGAAAGACUAA
rnacentral:rRNA from 1 species